UCCCAGAGUGCUGAGAUUACAGGUGUGAGCCAUCUGCCUGGCCAGUAUUCUGUAUUUUUAAAGGGAAAGGCAUCUGAAAUAGUUUGUGGAACCCUAUUUUUGGUUAUUUUAAAAAACACCCGGGUGGUCACAGCUCUGACCGUUCUCAUUUAACCUGCUUUCUUUGUGGGUCUCACUUGCCAACUUUCUCCCUCAGAUCCUCAGGGCUGUGGAAGGAAAUUGCUCACUCUCCAUAAUCUGGGUCUUGGAGAUAAAUGUAGGAAAUAGGCAAAAAUGAGCAGAGGAAGGAACAACCCAGUUUGUCUUUAAGUCAUGCUUUGCUUCCUGUGAUUCUAAUCCUGUGUCUUGGUCCAUGCCGGCUGCUCAUGGUUCUGGAGGCUGGGAAGUCCAAGAUCAAAGGAUGGGCAGGUUCCAUGUCUGGGUUGGGCUCGCUUCCUGGUUCACAGGUGGCUGCCUUCUCUCUGCGUCUCCACACGGCCCCAGGGAUGAACGAGCUCUCUGGAGUCCUCUCUAUUAGGACACUCAUCCCAUGCAUGGAGGCUUCACCCUUAGGACCGAAUCGCUUUCCCAAAGCCUCACCUUCUAUUACUGUCACCUUGAGGGUAAGAUUUGCAACAUAUGCAUUUUUUUUUUUUUUUUAGGAUAUCUUCAGUCAACAUAUAAAUUUUGAGGGGACAUAAAUAUACAGCCUAUAGGAUGCUGCUGAGUACAGGAAGGAAUGAAUACAGCCGAGAGCUGAAGAUUGGUCCAGGCCUUACUCCAGGGGAAAAUGCUUUUAGCUGAUCUUUCAAAAUAAGUGAGAGUCAUUUUCUACCAUGCAAAUAUGACCCUCGGCUUAAGUCCAUCAGGAGUUCACAGUUGCCUUCAGAAUGAAGCUAAAACUUCUGGCUGAUCAUGUAGCAGCCUGCAUUUCCAGCUUCCUCUCCCUUCACAUGUCCAGCCAGGACCUUGGACCCAGCUGCCUUCGCCUCCUUGCAUUGAUGCUCACAGCUUGUUAUGCCUCUGGGUGUUGGUUCAGGUUGUUCCUUCCUUCUGGAACAACUGGUCCCCAAUUCUCUGACCAGUGUACUCCUACUCAUUCUUCAAUAAAAAGCUUAGGCUUCUUGCCUUAUUGCAAACAUUUCCUGAUCUCUAUGGGUUGAUCUGAUGAUGCCUCUUCUUUCAGCUCUUGUGGACAUAACAUAUUACCCCCUCUGAUACGUCCUCUGUAAUGUGUCACUAAUCACACUGGGUUAUAAUGGCUGACUUCCUUGUCUGGUCACUGCCCUCUUUCGAGGGGAGAAACUGUGACCUGUUCGUCUUUGAAUCACCAGUGUCUAUCACAGUGUGUGACACAUGUAGAUGUUUGCUAAAUCUUUGUGGAAUAAAACAGUUGAUCUGUAAAAUAAGUGAUUGGACAUAGUAAUACAAAAUUCUAGGAUUUUAUGAUAAUUAAAAGUUGAAGGGAACUGCAGAACAACUCAAGAUAAGGAAACAACUCAAGAUAAUAUAGUAAAAAACACAAAGGAAUUAAAAUGGUAUACUAGAAAAUGUCUAUUUAACAUAAAAGAA